rnacentral:rRNA from 1 species
GACGAACGCUGGCGGCGUGCUUAACACAUGCAAGUCGAGCGAGGCCCUGCUCUUCGGAGCAGGUGCCCUAGCGGCGAACGGGUGAGUAACACGUGGGCAAUCUGCCCCUAGCACUGGGAUAACUCCGGGAAACCGGGGCUAAUACCGGAUAUGACCUUCGAAGGCAUCUUCGUUGGUGUAAAGGAUUCUGGCUAGGGAUGAGCCCGCGGCCUAUCAGCUUGUUGGUGAGGUAAUGGCCCACCAAGGCGACGACGGGUAGCCGGCCUGAGAGGGCGACCGGCCACACUGGGACUGAGACACGGCCCAGACUCCUACGGGAGGCAGCAGUGGGAAUAUUGCACAAUGGGCGAAAGCCUGAUGCAGCGACGCCGCGUGAGGGAUGACUGCCGUU